UGGCCUUGACAUGCACAGACCUUUGAAGAGAUUCAAUGGUGCCUUCGGGAACCGUGACAC
rnacentral:rRNA from 1 species